rnacentral:rRNA from 1 species
ACGUUAUUCGGAAUCACUGGGCUUAAAGCGCGUGUAGGCGGGCCGCCACGUCGGCUGCUGAAAUCCCCCGGCUCAACCGGGGAACGGGCACCGAUACGGGCGGCCUCGAGGGGGGUAGGGGGGCCUGGAACUUCCGGUGGAGCGGUGAAAUGCGUUGAGAUCGGAAGGAACGCCCGUGGCGAAAGCGAGGCCCUGGACCCUUUCUGACGCUGAGACGCGAAAGCCA